rnacentral:misc_RNA from 1 species
CGCAUAUUGCACCUUUUGGUAUUCCAUAAGGUACGUCUGUUUGAGCGUCGCGAACAUCUCAUAAUUAAUGAAUUUUUUUGUUAAUUAUGGUCUUUGAGUUUGUCUAUAAUUUUUAGACUCACUUUAAAUUGAUUAGUAGUUUAACUUUUGAAAGGGUUAAAAUUAGGUGUUUUUAAUGUACAUUACUUUGUGCAUCAUCUAAUCAAGAGUUACUUACUCUGCCUUAGUAUUAAUGUUACUGCUUCUAAUAGCUUAUUAAGCAAUUAAUAUUUCAAUCGACCUCAAAUCAGAUGGGAUUACCCGCUGAACUUAA